GGGAGAUGGAUGUGGGGGUCUGCGGGGGAGUUCUUGGUGCUGGAGGCGAUUAGGUGAAGGAGCUUCUAUGGUGAUGUUAUCAUGGUCAAGUGGAGGUAACUAGUUUGUUUGGCGUAUCUAUUGUACCAGGGAUUCCGUCUAUGCUGGUAGGGGUGUCCAGGAGGGAGGACCCUGCAGUUCUCAUGGAAUCAGUUGCUGUCAUCUUGGAUCUGUUUGUUUGGAAUGAAUUGGUUUUGUAGUUUUUAGAUGAUGUACCUUUGCAAUCGAACAAUUGCAGUGAGGUAGCUCCCUUGGUGCAGCAAUGGUCGUCCAGGAGGCACGAUCCUGCAAUACGAAAGGUAUUAGUUUGAUUUUGUCUUGAAAUUGUUAGUUGGUUUCAAUGGGAUUUUUGCAGCUAAGAUAAUGUACGUUUGGAGUGGAUACUCUUGCAGUGCUAUUCAGUUCUUCAAUUUCCUGAUGUGUUGCCAUGGUUGAA